rnacentral:rRNA from 1 species
GACGAACCGUGCGAACGUUGUUCGGAAUCACUGGGCUUAAAGGGCGCGUAGGCGGGUUCGCAAGUCUGUGGUGAAAGCCUCCAGCUUAACUGGAGAAGUGCCGUGGAUACUGCGAAUCUUGAGGAGGGUAGGGGCGUCUGGAACGGUCGGUGGAGCGGUGAAAUGCGUUGAUAUCGACCGGAACUCCGGUGGCGAAGGCGAGGCGCUGGACCCUUUCUGACGCUGAGGCGCGAAAGCCAGGGGAGCAGACGGG